UGUUGGCCUCUGGAAAUGGUGGAUUGUACUAUUGUGUAGCACACAAUGAAUAUGGCAGUCAUAAGUCCUCUGAAAUUGAAGUGCCUUUUGCAGGUGUGCCAGGAGGACUGUUUGCAGUUUUGGGGAUUAUACCAGUAGUGGCUCUCAUAGUGGUGCUUGUGUUCGUGUACAGUAGGAGAGCAGCAUCCACCAAGAGCACCAGUGGGACGGUG